GCACAACACUGUACAGGUUGCUAGCAUACUGCACAACACUGUAGACAGGUUGCCAGCAUACUGCACAACACUGUAGACAGGUUGCUAGCAUACUGCACAACACUGUAGACAGGUUGCCAGCAUACUGCACAACACUGUAGACAGGUUGCUAGCAUACUGCACAACACUGUAGACAGGUUGCUAGGAUACUGCACAACACUGUAGACAGGUUGCUAGCAUACUGCACAA